rnacentral:lncRNA from 1 species
AAAACCCACAGAAGAACUCAUAUAAUAACAUAAAUCCAAUCAUCUCAUCAAGUUGAAAGUACUUAAUCAAAAUAACAUAAUCCAAAAUUAACUCAAAACAAAUAACACGCCUUGUUCCCGAUGUUACAGAUCAGAGCAUAUAAACCUACUAAAUAGCGACAAAAGAAAACAUAAAUGAAGAAAAGCUCCAAGGCCAUCUUCCA